rnacentral:rRNA from 1 species
AGAGUUUGAUCCUGGCUCAGAUUGAACGCUGGCGGCAUGCCUUACACAUGCAAGUCGAACGGUAACAGGUCUUCGGAUGCUGACGAGUGGCGAACGGGUGAGUAAUACAUCGGAACGUGCCCGAUCGUGGGGGAUAACGAAGCGAAAGCUUUGCUAAUACCGCAUACGAUCUACGGAUGAAAGCAGGGGACCGCAAGGCCUUGCGCGAACGGAGCGGCCGAUGGCAGAUUAGGUAGUUGGUGGGAUAAAAGCUUACCAAGCCGACGAUCUGUAGCUGGUCUGAGAGGACGACCAGCCACACUGGUACUGAGACACGGCCCAGACUCCUACGGGAGGCAGCAGUGGGGAAUUUUGGACAAUGGGCGAAAGCCUGAUCCAGCCAUGCCGCGUGCAGGAUGAAGGCCUUCGGGUUGUAAACUGCUUUUGUACGGAACGAAAAGACUCUGGUUAAUACCUGGGGUCCAUGACGGUACCGUAAGAAUAAGCACCGGCUAACUACGUG